rnacentral:lncRNA from 1 species
CACGUCUUAUUUUGUAUCCAAUCCAAUCCAGAAAAAAAGCUUAGGAGGGUCAAGGAGGGCACUCUGUCGUGGUUGUGCGUGUUGAGUGGAGAACAUGAACAUGUCUCGCGUUUCUCGACUGGCCGUUGUGGCACGGAAUUUCACUACCUCAGCGAUCCGAAGGAGUGGUCACGAUGACCACGACACCAGCGGCAUUCCUGGUUCGAACUUGCCCUUCAAGAUCAAUAACAAGUAUGGACUGACCAUCAAGUUUGCCCUCUUUUUCGGAAGUGGCUUCGCGGUUCCUUUCUUCGCUGUUCGACACCAACUCCUGAAGCAGUGAUGUAGUAAGAAUUAUUGGGUUCCACUGCGUGAGACAGGCUGUGAAACGUUAACUGUCCGUUUAUGUCGAAUAAAUUCCCUUGGCUCGAAUAUU